rnacentral:tRNA from 1 species
GCGCUCAUAGCUCAGGGGAUAGAGCAGCAGUUUCCGAAACUGUUGGUCAGAGGUUCGAAUCCUCUUGAGCGCA